rnacentral:rRNA from 1 species
CGGGGGGGGGGACGGAUCGCGGAAGGUUGUCCGGGUGUUGGAAGUCCCGGUCGCUGCGUUGGAGAAGGUGCUCUGGCAAAUCCGGGCACGGAAUUCAAGGGCGUGGCGCGAGCUCUCUAGGGAGCGAAGCAACUGGAAGGGGUUCCAGGAAAAGCCUCUAAGCUUCAGUUUCACAUUGACCGUACCGCAAACCGACACAGGUGGGCGAGAUGAGUAUUCUAAGGCGCUUGAGAGAACUCGGGAGAAGGAACUCGGCAAAUUGGUACCGUAACUUCGGGAUAAGGUACGCCCCUGUAGCUUGACUGGCCUGCGCCAGAAGGGUGAAGGGGUUGCAAUAAACUGGUGGCUGCGACUGUUUAAUAAAAACACAGCACUCUGCAAACACGAAAGUGGACGUAUAGGGUGUGACGCCUGCCCGGUGCCGGAAGAUUAAAUGAUGGGGUGCAAGCUCUUGAUUGAAGUCCCGGUAAACGGCGGCCGUAACAAUAACGGUCCUAAGGUAGCGGAAUUCCUUGUCGGGUAAGUUCCGACCUGCACGAAUGGCGUAACGAUGGCCACACUGUCUCCUCCCGAGACUCAGCGAAGUUGAAGUGCUUGUGAUGAUGCAAUCUCCCCGCGGCUAGACGGAAAGACCCCAUGAACCUUUACUGCAGCUUUGCAUUGGACUUUGAACCGGUCUGUGUAGGAUAGGUGGGAGGCUAUGAAGCGGGAACGCCAGUUUCUGUGGAGCCGUCCUUGAGAUACCACCCUGAUCUGUUUGAGGUUCUAACCUUGGACCCUGAAGCGGGUUCGGGGACAGUGCAUGGCAGGCAGUUUGACUGGGGCGGUCUCCUCCCAAAGUGUAACGGAGGAGUACGAAGGUACGCUAGGUACGGUCGGAAAUCGUGCUGAUAGUGCAAUGGCAUAAGCGUGCUUGACUGCGAGACUGACAAGUCGAGCAGGUGCGAAAGCAGGUCAUAGUGAUCCGGUGGUUCUGUAUGGAAGGGCCAUCGCUCAACGGAUAAAAGGUACUCUGGGGAUAACAGGCUGAUACCGCCCAAGAGUUCAUAUCGACGGCGGUGUUUGGCACCUCGAUGUCGGCUCAUCUCAUCCUGGGGCUGUAGCCGGUCCCAAGGGUAUGGCUGUUCGCCAUUUAAAGAGGUACGUGAGCUGGGUUUAAAACGUCGUGAGACAGUUUGGUCCCUAUCUGCCGUGGGCGCUGGAUAUUUGAAGGGACCUGCUCCUAGUACGAGAGGACCGGAGUGGACGAACCUCUGGUGUACCGGUUGUCACGCCAGUGGCAUCGCCGGGUAGCUAUGUUCGGAAGAGAUAACCGCUGAAAGCAUCUAAGCGGGAAACUCGCCUUGAGAUGAGAUAUCCCCGGGGCUUCGAGCCCCUUGAAGGGUCGUUCAAGACCAGGACGUUGAUAGGUCAGGUGUGGAAGCGCAGUAAUGCGUUAAGCUAACUGAUACUAAUUGCCCGUAAGGCUAGA